rnacentral:rRNA from 1 species
CCUACGGAGGCAGCAGUGGGGAAUAUUGGACAAUGGGGGGAACCCUGAUCCAGCCAUGCCGCGUGUGUGAAGAAGGCCCUCGGGUUGUAAAGCACUUUCAGUGAGGAAGAACGCCUGGUGGUUAAUACCCAUCAGGAAAGACAUCACUCACAGAAGAAGCACCGGCUAACUCCGUGCCAGCAGCCGCGGUAAUACGGAGGGUGCGAGCGUUAAUCGGAAUUACUGGGCGUAAAGCGCGCGUAGGUGGCUUGAUAAGCCGGUUGUGAAAGCCCCGGGCUCAACCUGGGAACGGCAUCCGGAACUGUCAAGCUAGAGUGCAGGAGAGGAAGGUAGAAUUCCCGGUGUAGCGGUGAAAUGCGUAGAGAUCGGGAGGAAUACCAGUGGCGAAGGCGGCCUUCUGGACUGACACUGACACUGAGGUGCGAAAGCGUGGGUAGCAAACAGGAUUAGAUACCCGUGUAGUC